CACGUAGGCACCAAGCGUUGUCCGGAUUUAUUGGGCGUAAAGAGCUCGUAGGCGGUUCGGUAAGUCGGGUGUGAAAACUUUGGGCUCAACCCAAAGCGUGCACUCGAUACUGCCAUGACUAGAGUUCGGUAGGGGAGUGGGGAAUUCCUAGUGUAGCGGUGAAAUGCGCAGAUAUUAGGAGGAACACCGGUGGCGAAGGCGCCACUCUGGGCCGAAACUGACGCUGAGGAGCGGAAAGCGUGGGUAGCAAACG
rnacentral:rRNA from 1 species